GUGCUCACUUUGGCAGCACAUAUACUAAAAUUGGAAUGAUACAUGGCCCUUGUGCAAGAAUGACAUGUACAUUCAUGAAGCAGUCCAUAUCUAU
rnacentral:snRNA from 1 species